UACAUUCGGAUAAAACGCGAGCCUACGCAAUUACGGUUGAAAUACAGUGCGUAGCGUCGCUGCCAUUCACGAAAGGGCAACCCGCGCGAUUUCUUGCGCACCGAUGCGGGGGCGGGGCUAUGUGACGUAACAUUACGCAAAUAGCGUAGCUUACGCUUACGCACGUCGCGCAGCCUUACCCAGGAGAAAAUGGCCUCGGGUUAGCCGCGCUAGCUAACGGACACCCGAGCCAUUAUGGCUAAACUCGCCGAAUGGAAAGGACUCCGAUACCGAAACCAUCCGAUAAAAGCGCCGAGCGUAACUGGGGAAACUACACUGGUGAGAUCUGCUAUGAUUUGGAUUGGAAGAUCUGCUAUAGAGCUCUGACCCUCAACCCGUUUAAACAUGUUGAAUGUAAACGAUGACUGCACCUCAGGCCUCCUCACACCACCUACAUCACUACCUGACUUUAUUAACACCAUUGUGACUGAAUGAAUCUCACACAAAUCUCCACAAAAACUAGAGGAACACCUUGCUAGAGGAGUGGAGGAUAUUAUAACAGUAAAUGCGAGCUAAAUAUGGAAUGGGAUUUUCAAAAAGCACUUUUGCUCAUGUAGUGUAUAUAGAUGCAGGUGUUGCACAGUGUUUAUAAUCUGGUAUAUUGCGCCACCGUGUGGUUAAAACCGAAAUAAACUAUUUCAUGCACCAAGA